UAAUAAGUGUUUUAUGGCACUUUUUAAAUCCAUAUCCACCUUGUGUGCAAUGUCAGUCGAUCCUCUUCAUGGAGAUCGACCAAACAUCAACCUUUAUUUUUAACUCUUUGUCUGAAAAAUAUUAUGAAUAAACAAUUCAAAAUA
rnacentral:misc_RNA from 1 species